GAGAGGGCGUGGCCUGGACAGUGGGGCGCAAGCGAGGUCAGUGAGAGGGUGUGGUCUGGACAGGAGGGUGGACGUGAGGUCAGUGAGAGGGCGUGGCCUGGACAGGAGGGCGGAAGUGAGGUCAGUAAGAGGGCGUGGUCUGGACAGGAGGGCAGAAUUGAGGUCAGUGAGAGGGCGUGGCCUGGACAGAAGGGCGGAAGUGAGGUCAGUAAGAGGGUGUGGUCUGGACUGGAGGGCGGAAGUUGGUGCUGGUUUACAUGGGUUUCCCUUCUGUGCAUCUGUAGAAGAGGAAGAAGAGAGCUUAGUGGACUUUAUCACCCCUCGAGCUGACAUCUUACCCUCCAUUAAGUCCUUUGACUGCCUCACGUGUGUAACACUACUUAUCUUAACACUGGCCUUAGUUUGAGUUGUUACUAGCUUUCAACCCAGUGCCAGGCAAAGAACAUUCGGGAGGACAUUGCCUGUCAAAUUCCUAAGAAGGUAGUUGGUAUUAUUAGACUUCGAUGACCUGUGGGGGGCACAAUGUCAGGAGCAUGCUCACUUUUCCUUUCAUAAACGGCAC